GCAGUGGUAGUUCAGUGGUAGAAUUCUCACUUUCCAUGUGGGAGACCCGGGUUUGAGUCCCAGCCAAUGCA
rnacentral:tRNA from 1 species